GACGAACGCUGGCGGCGUGCUUAACACAUGCACGUCGAACGCGGGGCGAACGGGUGAGUAACACUUGGGUGAUCUGACCCUUACUUUGUGAUAAGCCUGGGACACUGGGUCUAAUACUGGAUAGUCAGGGGUGAGUUCGCGGCCUAUUAGCUUGGUGGUGGGGUAAUGGCUACCAAGGCGCGAAGGGUAGCCUGCCUGCGAGGGUGGACGGCCACAUUGGGACUGAGAGACGGCCCAGACUCCUACGUGAGGCAGCAGUGGGGAAUGUUGGGCAAUGGGGGAAAGUCUGAUCCAGCCAGCCCGCGUGUGCGAUGAAGGCCUUCGGGUUGUAAAGCACUUUUGGCAGGAAAACGGUACCUUCAGAAUAAGCAACGGCUAACUACGUGCCAGCAGCCGCGGUAAUUC
rnacentral:rRNA from 1 species